rnacentral:rRNA from 1 species
GAUGAACGCUGGCGGCGUGCCUAAUACAUGCAAGUCGAGCGAACAGACUCUGAUCUUGCUCCUCUAACAAUUUCGCGGCGCACGUGUGUAUCACAUGUAUAACCCCUCUCUCAUACUCGGGUAACAUCAUGGGACAGGAUAUCUUACCGGAGAAUAUAUUGAAUCUCGUGUGUCAAUAGUGUAAGAGGUUUUUGCUGUAACAUAUAGAUAUGUCUGCGCUGCAUUAGCUAGUUGGUAAGGUAAAGGCUUACCAAGGCGACGAUGCGUAGCCGACCUGAGAGGGUGAUCGGCCACACUGGAACUGAGACACGGUCCAGACUCCUACGGGAGGCAGCAGUAGGGAAUCUUCCGCAAUGGGCGAAAGCCUGACGGAGCAACGCCGCGUGAGUGAUGAAGGUCUUCGGAUCGUAAAACUCUGUUAUUAGGGAAGAACAAAUGUGUAAGAAACAUUGAUCGUCUUGACGGUACCUAAUCAGAAAGCCACGGCUAACUACGUG